rnacentral:lncRNA from 1 species
GCUACUUUGCUUUGGGAGUGCUGUCUGGCCAGACUAAUAAAGGUCUGUUAUGCUUUCCAACUUGUCCAGUGUGUUCCUUCUCGGGUGUUCUUCACUGCAGUCAGCUCCUCAGAGCGUUUGGUAAGGCCCCCGGUCUUACAUUUUGGAGGCCCCAGUGAGAUCCCCAGGUAGGAACCCUGGUUCACCUAAGACUCUGUGGUGGGAUCCAGCAGGAGACUCUUGGGUACAGACCUCAGAAAACCUCCAGAGGUUUGAUUCCAAGACCCUAGAACCACGUUGGAAGGGACCGGUUCCUGUUGUCCUGUCAACUCCCUUGGCAGUGAAGAUAGCUGGACAUUCUGCCUGGAAACAUCGCAACCAUCUGAAGGCAGGACCCCCUGCGGAUGUCACGAAGGACAAAUGGAAGGUUAUCAGCCAACCAGGUGACCGAAAGCUGAGACUGGGGAGGGUUGGAGAUAUUUCUCAUUCAUGAUAAUAUUCUCUGGGACACUGGCGGUACUGCCCCCAAGAAAAUUGGACCACACUGGAAAUGUAUGGUUCAACUGGCAAAAUCACUUAAUCUGUCUGAAUUCUGUCUAAAUAUAGAUGUAAAUUUCCAUUAUGUAUUAGGAAGCUGUCUCAUUCCAGUGUGUACCCCUUUAAGUUUAAUACGGCCCUAUACCCUGUUUAAGGAUAUCCCAGGGAAAAAAAUCUCACUUUAUAAAGAUAGUUACAAUUGGGGCAUUCCUCAUGUCAUAAACCUAAAAAUGCUGACAAAUUAUAUACACCCAGGAUAAUUAUGUCAAAUAAUACCCAACGUGCUAUAUAUGUAAAUUGUACAACCAAGUGUCUGAGAAUAAAACGAUCUGAAGGGAUGCCCUGCCAUAUAAAACAGAAAAUUGUGUAUAACAAUUGCCAUAUCUCCCUGCCGACAGGAUGGUUUUAUACCUGUGAAGGAAUAACUUUCAAUUAUAUUCCAGCCAAUUUAACCAAGACCCAUUGCAGCUUGAGUCGUCUAGCUGUAGUUUUACCAGAUAAAACUGAUUUGAUUAUGCCAAAUAGAACUAAAUGCUGGUCGCCUUAUACUGCGCCAGGAUGUGAUGAUGAUGUAAGUCUUUUGACAGAUGCUAAAGUGAUAUCUAUGAUAGCAUCUUUUGUUGCUCUGCCUUCCAUAGGAGUCCAUGCUGAAAAGGUGGUAUGAAAAUUAGCUUGCAAGGUGGUCAAAGGGUUAAAUGCUACCUCAUCAGCCUUGGCAUUAAUUAACCAGGAGUUACAAGAACAGAGACAAGCAAUCUUAGAUAAUAGAGCAGCUAUAGACUAUUUGUUGCUCUUUCAUCAUCAAGGUUGUGAAAGAAUAAAAAAUAUGUGUUGUUUCAAUCUGACUGACAAUAGUCCAGGAAUUAGAGAAAAGAUAAAACAGUUGGAAGACUUGGCUAAAAGGGUACAUGACGAAAAAGUAGGAUGGGACUUGUUCCAGUGGCUAACUAAAUGGUUGCCCAACCUACAAUGGUUAAAGCAACUUUUUCUCGUAGUUAUAGUUGUGUGCAUAUGCUUAAUAUUGUCGUGCUGCUGUAUACAAUGGAUGCCCACAUUUAUACAUAAGAUUACUUAAGUUGUAAAAUCAGUGGGGAAUGUGGGACCGCAUAACUCUGUAAUCAUAAAGGCUCCCCCAGCCCCAACAUAGUGAUUGAUUGUGAGUGAAUGGUUAAAAUGUGCUUGUUAGUUCUGGGACACUAGAUAAAAUCUGUAACAAACAUAGAGUUCCUAAGUGAAUUAUCCAACUCCUUGUUUGUCCGAAACCGAUGUUCUGACACAGCUAUCUAUAAGACAAUCUGCAAACAUCUUUUGACCAUCAACGUUUUUUCUCUUGCUAAUUUCCCCUGCAACCCCCUAUAAAAACAGCCUCAGGCUCUGAGCCAGUUGCCUCU